GAGUUGAUAGCUCAGUUGGUAGAGCAAGGGACUUUUAAUCCCAAGGUCGAGGGUUCGAGCCCCUCUCAACUCACCA
rnacentral:tRNA from 1 species